rnacentral:lncRNA from 1 species
AAAAGUAAUCUAACACUGACUGAACACUUAGCUCAUUUUAAACCUAUGAUUUAAAUUCGAAUUUUUUUUUAUUUUAAAAAUCUAAACCUACAAUUUAGUCAUUCUCUAUGUUUAUAUCUCUUUAGAAUAUGCCGCUGUUAUUUUUGCAACUAAAAUGUGUGUAUGUUGUAUGUGAUGUAUAUAUACACAUGAAUGACUAUAAGCACAUGUGCAUGUCCAUACAUAUGAAGAUGUCUUCCUUAGUCAUUCUCCAUCUUAGUUUUGAGAAUCUCACUGAAUCUUACUGAUUCAGCCAGCCUGCUGGCCUGAACUUGCCCAGGGUCCUCCUAUCUGAGCUUGCUGAGCGCUGGGUCUUGGUUGGUUGGUUAGUUGGUUGGUUGGUUGGUUUGUUUGUUUAACAUGGAUUCAGAGAGCUUAAAGCAGCUACUCAUGCUUACUUGGCAAGCAGUUUUUCUGACUGAGCUAUCUCCCCAGCCCUUGCAGCUCAGUUUAUUGAUCCUGCUUCCGAGUCCACUGUCCUCUGGAAUAAAAAAAACCUUGGUGUUAUUGUCAGGUUUCCCUGUGUAAGAUUAGCUCUGUCACAGAGUCCACGUGCCUGUCUGUGGCAAGAAAUGCAGCAAGUGGAGCGGGAAAAUCAUGUUGUUUUCCAAAUGCAUUGAGGGUUUCACAGGGCCCCUUGUCCCACUUCGAGUUCUUUCUAGACUGAUCUACUCGUCAUCCAGAAUGUAAAUUCUAAAACUUUGGUGCCCUGGCCCGCCUUUUUUGUUAUUCCUUUGAAACAGUGUCUUCUCAAGCCUCAGAUUCUCAAUCCACCUGCCUCAGUGUCCCGCAUCCUGAGACGCUAAGCAUGAGCCAUACACAACACCUGGAUUUUUCUCCAGCUUAGGAAAUACAAAUGGAGUCUGUGGCUAUGGCUCAGCAGUUAUAAGCACUUGCUGCUUUUCCAGAGGACCAGAGUUCUGUUGCGGUAUCCAGUGGGCUUACAACUGACUGUAACCCUAGCUCCAGGAGAUCUGACACCUUCUCCUGGCCUUUGCAAACAGACGUAUACACACACAUACACACACACACACACACACACACACACACACACACACACACACGGCAUACAUUCAUACAUUUCUGGCCUUUUCAGACACACAUAUAUAUGCAUAAAUAAUAAAAAUAAAGAGUGGCAGUUUUUUAAAAAAAGAUAGAAAAAUGCAAAUGAAUGUGCCAAAGCAUGCUUCUAAGACCCAAGAGGCAUGGGAGGGUCGAGCCAGAUGGAAGCCAGCAGCCUAGGUGGCUCCCUCACUUAACAACUGGUAUCUUCCCAGGGAUCUAGCAUCUGCUAAGAAUUAUAAUAACUCUAAGCUGCCUUUAUUUCUUAUGAUGGAAAAUCCAAGUAGUAUUAAUGUGACUCAUCCAAGACUUUUUCCUCUCCUGGAAGUCAUAGCUUGGCUGUCCUGUGACUUUACGCUCCUGUGUAAUGUCAGCUCGUGUAGAGGUUUGUGGGAAUCAUGAUGCAGUAAUGAAGAGCCAGCUUCAGGACUGCCCUGCCACGCUGGGUGCCAGGAGACUGGAGGAAGUGUUCUUCAUCCUCAUACAGCCGUACACUAAAAUGAAUAUGUUCUUCUCUGGAACUUUUCCAAGAUGGUUUUUUCCCCUUUCCAAUUAGAAACAUCACAGUCUGUAAUCAGGCCCAGGCUUGGAGCUAAUUAUUAGCUCUACUUUCUUGCUACUAUGUUUUAUGCUUGGGAGAGGGUCAGAUGUUGGCAAACUUGCUCUUCAGCUUGGUUCGAAGACGGGGCGGUCGAGGCCUAAAGUACAGAAUCUGGAAACACGCUGCCAGGGAGUGUGGGAAUCCAGGCCUUGCUCUGUGUGCUUUCAAGGAUGUUACUGAAUCCCUCUAGUACUUAAUUCCCUCACCUGCAGAACCAGUAAUCCCUGAUAGAGGUACUGCGAGGAUUUAAAUGAGCUAAUACCACUUGCUUAGAACUGGGUUUAAUCCCUACUAGGUAAAGAUUACAAAGAAUAGGCCUUUCCUCCUCUUCUUCUGGGCUCUGUAACUACUCUUCAGUCACACUGGCCUCCUUUCUCGGCCAUGUGAACAUUGACCUGCCUGCCCGUACGCUUCUAACCUGCUGCAUUCUUACCUGUGUUCUCUGUCACAUGUUACCAUGAUAACCUCUGUGGCUUCCAGCCCAGUCUUCCCCCCUCCUCCAGGUGUGUCCUCUACCUUCCCACCCUGACUGCAUUCUAAAGGUUCGGAACUCCCUUCUCCAUCUUGAUAUCCACUGGAGCCCUGCACAGGGGGUGUGGUGUGGUAUCUGUAACAAAACUGAAAAGGGCACCGGGUGGCGCACGCCUUUUAAUCCCAGCACCUGGGAGGCAGAGGCAGGCGGAUUUCUGAGUUCGAGGCCAGCCUGGUCUACAGAGUGAGUCCCAGGACAGCCAGGGCUACACAGAGAAACCCUGUCUCUGGGGGAAAAAAAAAAGGGAAGGAAGGAAUCUGAGGGAGUGGGAGGUGGGACUGGACGUAAGCAGUCCUCUGGGUCAAAUGCUUUCUCCUGAACUGAGUUUAUCAAAUCUACUUCAUCUGACAAGUGCUUUGGUGUCUUCCCCCCCCCCCCAACUGUAUUCCUUGAUACCUCUCCUUUCUCAUCUGAGGCGGCUGCCUCCAAACCACUAGAAGCAAGAUGUGAGAUGCGUCUAGAGAGUCCUGUGUCCUGGAGGGCACACCUCUAGGAUAUCUAGUAUGACCCAAGGAUUCAAAGUCAGGUGUCAGGGUAUCCCAGCCCAUGGAACUUUAAGCAUGGAGGGUCUCU